rnacentral:misc_RNA from 1 species
UGCCUCCAUAACUAGAUGUUAUUGCACCUCCUAAACCAGCCCCAUGGUCACCAGCUCUUUGACCUGAUAUCACUUGAGUAAGAGCUGAUACCAUUGCAGACAUCUCCCUUGCACUGCCAUAACCAGGAAACAUAGUUGCCGAUUGCGCGACGACUUGUAUUGGCUGAUUUAACACGGAUUCUGAGGUUACAGUUUGUGUAUAUCUCUCUUCUUGGUUAUCAUCUCCGCUUUCUGUAGUAGCAGGGUACUUGAUGUACUCGCCUGAGUCUCCCUGGUUCGCCACCUUCAAAAUCAACAAGCACAUGUAAUAUUAGAUAGAGAGAGAGGGUUUUUAUUGUUUUUUUUCCUUUGCUCUUUCCUUCUCCUAUUUGCAAAAAAUAGGAGUACCCUCUUCGAAUCGAAGUUACAAAGAAGGAUUAUGGUUAUAUAAGGUGAUGGGGAAUUCAAAUUUGAUCAGCCGCCNNNNNNUGCAGAGGCACCAAGAACAUAUCAUUCAUGAUAAAUAUGAUCAUAAGUUGCUUUUUUU